AACACAUGCAAGUCGAACGGCAGCACGGUAUGUAGCAAUACAUAUGGGUGGCGAGUGGCGGACGGGUGAGUAAAGCGUAGGAAUUUGCCUUUUAGAGGGGGAUAACCCGAGGAAACUCGGGCUAAUACCGCAUAUACUCGGAAGAGGAAAGCUGGGGUAACCUGGCGCUAAGAGAGGAGCCUACGUCCGAUUAGCUAGUUGGUAGGGUAAAGGCCUACCAAGGCGACGAUCCCUAGCUGGUUUGAGAGGAUGAUCAGCCACACUGGAACUGAGACACGGUCCAGACUCCUACGGGAGGCAGCAGUGGGGAAUAUUGGACAAUGGGCGAAAGCCUGAUCCAGCCAUGCCGCGUGUGUGAAGAAGGCCUUCGGGUUGUAAAGCACUUUCAGUAGGGAGGAAGAGUUGAGUGUUAAUAGUACUCAGCUUUGACGUUACCUACAGAAGAAGCACCGGCUAACUCUGUGCCAGCCGCCGCUGUAAAAC
rnacentral:rRNA from 1 species